rnacentral:rRNA from 1 species
CAGUAGCCGCGGUAAUACGUAGGUCCCAAGCGUUGUCCGGAUUUAUUGGGCGUAAAGCGAGCGCAGGCGGUUAGAUAAGUCUGAAGUUAAAGGCUGUGGCUUAACCAUAGUACGCUUUGGAAACUGUUUAACUUGAGUGCAAGAGGGGAGAGUGGAAUUCCAUGUGUAGCGGUGAAAUGCGUAGAUAUAUGGAGGAACACCGGUGGCGAAAGCGGCUCUCUGGCUUAUAACUGACGCUGAGGCUCGAAAGCGUGGGGAGCAAACAGGAUUAGAUACCCGUGUAGUCCCUGUCUCUUAUACC